AUAUUUACGACUCAAUAAUCCUUUACUAAUUUGUUUUCGGAUGCAAAUUAAACAUAUUCUUAGGGGAAAGGUCUUACAUCGUAAUGCUCCUAGAUCUCAGAUUGCCUAUAGCCCUAUAUUCAUAAACAAAUAAUGUUAAUAAACUGGUCGAAGUGGAGGAUCAAGAUGGCAGUACACCCCAAAGACCAGAAGUAUCUUGGCCGCCUAUAUGGACUGCUGUGGACCUAUCUGACCAACCGUAGGUAGCGAAGGUAGCUUUCCCGGCUUCAGUCUGAAUUAGUCCAUCAGCCAAUAGCUUGGCUCUUGGGGCACCACGAAUCCAACUAAUGACUGGGUGGAAGGUCAUGAUCUGCAACUCCAUGCCAACACUCGUUUUCCAACUGCUUUCGCCCGACAGACAUCGCUGCGAGAUUCGAUUUCCAGAAGCAGAGGAUCUCUUCUUGGAACAGCUUGCUGGAGAUGGAGGAACUGCUGCUCCAAGGAAAAGGGGGUUUGACGCUCGCUAUCUUAUUUUUUCAGCCUCCCCUCACAUCGUCUUCUACAAUCGGAAACCCAA
rnacentral:sRNA from 13 species